rnacentral:lncRNA from 1 species
UACACCACUUGAACAACAGUUUGAGCUAAAUUUCUACCAGAAUCCUUUUAUUGCAGUGUAGUGAGCGACAGCGCGCUGGUAGGCACAUCUUCCCUUGUUUGUACAUUCAUCUACACUCUACAACAGGAUGUUCUCAAAGAAUAAUUGUAUCUCUAACUAACAAAUCAGGCAAUGUUAUUGAUGCUAUAGCCUGGGAUCUUUGGAUGAC